rnacentral:rRNA from 1 species
AUGGCGGAGUUUGCUCUUGGUCUGACCAAGACGGCGGUGCAGGGCACGCUGAACAGCGUGAAGUCGGCCAUCGAGGAAGAGGGGAAGCUGAGGGUGCGUGUGCAGGAUGACCUGGUGUUCAUCUCCGGUGAGUUCCGGAUGAUGCAGUCUUUUCUGAAAGCCUCCAAUGCGGGGGGGCGUGCAUCCCAGAGCGAGGUGAUGCAGGCAUGGGUGAAGCAGCUCCGUGACCUGGCCUUCGAGGUGGAGGACUGCGUCGAGUUUGUGGUCCACCUCGACCAGCCAUCGCCCUGGGAUUUUGUGCGGCGCCUGACCUCGCCUCUCAUGUGCAUGGGAAGGCGGCCGCUGCCGCUGGAUGUGGCGGUGGCGGAUAUAAAGCAGCUCAAGGUGAGGGUGGAGGACCUAAGCCAGAGGAACACACGCUACAACCUCUUCAGUACCAGUGGCGGCGAUGGCGGUGGCAACGACUCCUCAGAUCAGCAGCAGCUAAUGCAUGUUGCGGGUACUAUUACUAGUAGUACACCGGCGACAAUGGAGGUAUUCCCCUUCCUAAGGAAGGUUUGGGAGUCCACGGGAAAGCUGAUCCACACCAACGGUGAGCUCAAAAGGUUGAUUGACUGUGAAGGCAGGGAGCUCAAAGUGAUCUCGCUAUGGCGAAGUCAGCAGGCUGAUGUUGUUGGUGAACUUGGGUGGGUGACUAUUGCGAAGAAGGCUUUUGAUGACCCAGAAAUCUGCCAAGAAUUCAAGAAUCGCACCUGGGUAAAGCUGAGUACUCAUCAUCCUUUUAACCCGGUAGAGUUUCUCAACAAUUUACUGAGUCAUUUCACUACAUCUCGUCACCACCGGCAUGACAAUAUAUCCGAGCUUAUGCUGCAAGUCAGCCGACACAGGUAUCUCAUUGUCCUAGAGACAGAGUUAUCUAGUGUUGCAGAGUGGGAUGCCAUCAAAAGGUGCCUUCUGGACGACAAAAAUGGCAGUCGAAUUGUCAUCUCCACCAAGCAUUUGGGAAUUGCCCUUGUCUGCACGGGGGACCCGUACCAAGUAUCAGAGCUUAAACGCUUCUCUUAUGAUCGAUCACUUUGUGCCAUUUUACCGAAGGGUUAUGGGCAUCGCAUCGGCAUGGGUGAAUUAUUUUGGCAAUUAAGACGACGACAGUUUGGUGUUAUCUCCUUGUUGGGGCGGACCUAUCGAGAGAUACCAUCAUUAAUAGUUGAACUGUACUCCUACCGUGUCCGCAGGUAUAGGGUAUUCGACGGAGUGAAAUUUAAAUACUAUUGCCGCUUUGAUGUUAGUACUAAAGAUGGGCCGUUGAAACCGGUUGACUUGGCUCUGUCCAUACUUGUGCAAUCAUGUUCCGAAGAUGAUCAAGAAGAGGAAUGUAAAAAGAUCAGGGAGACGGAAAUUUCUGAAGAUGUUAUCAUUGGAAAAGCUCGUAAUUUUCUGACUGAGCACGAUUGCCUCCUCUUAAUCACGAACCUGGAGUCUAGUACAGAUUGGAACUUGAUUAAGCAUCAUUUCUUAUGUGAGUCUACUAGAGGCUACAUCAUUGUUAUUACAAGUAAACAAAGUGUAGCCACACACUGUGUAGAUCACAAAAAACAUCUGGUGCUCGACAUGGAAGAACUGAUGAAGGGUUGUGGGCAUCGAAUCGGCAUGAGUGAGUUAUUUUGGAAUCUAAAACAACAUGAUGGUGUUGUAUCCUUGUUCUGUCAAACUGAUCAGGAGAGAUCACAGUUAAUGGAUACACUAUACUCCUGCAAGUAUAGGGUAUUCGACGGAGUGAAAUAUGGGUUGUUCAAGCUGGUUGACUUGGCUCUAUUCAUACUUGCGCAAUCACACCCAGAAGAUAAACAAGAAACUGAAUGUCAAAAGCUUAUUAGGGAGGUGAAGAAUGACAACGAAAUAAUUAAAUUGGGUCAUCAGUUUCUGAUUGAACACAAUUGCCUUCUUUUUAUCACAAACCUGGACUCCACCACGGAUUGGGACUUGAUUAAACAAGAACUCUUAUGUGAUGAUACUAUAGGUUACAUUGUUGUUAUUACAAGUGACCGAAGUUUUGCCACACAUUGUGUCGAUCAAAAACAUGAUUGUGUGAUCGAUGUAGAAGACCUAAUGAAGGGUUGUGGGCAUCGUGUCAUCAUGAAUGAAUUAUUUUGGCAAUCUCCUUGUCCAGGAAAACAAGGUGUUAUCUCCUUGUUCUGGCAGAUCGAUGAAGAGAGAUCACAAUUAAGGGAUGAAUUGAACUCCUAUCAGACCCGCAAGUAUAGGAUAUUUGACGGGAAGAAAUUUGAACAUUGUUUCAACUUCAUUGAUAUUGAAGAUGGGCAGUUCAAAUUGGUUGACCUGGCUCGGUUCGUACUUGCGCAAGUGGACCCAAAAAGAGGUGAAGAGUCUAGUGGGGAGAAUAGUGAACUGUUUAUAAUUGAAGAGAGUCGUAAGUAUCUGACUGAACACAAUUGCCUCCUCUUUAUCACAAACCUGAAGACCACAGAUUGGGACUUGAUUAAGCAACACCUCUUAUGCAAGUCUACUAGAUGUUACAUUGUUGUUAUUACAAAAGACCGAAGUGUGGCCGAAUAUUGUGUAGAUGGCAAACAAGAUCAGGUGCUCGAUGUUGGAGUUCUAAAGAAGGGUUGUGGGCAUCGCAUCGGCAUGAGUGAAUUAUGUUGGCAACUAAGAGGACAUCAUGGUGUUUUAUCCUUGUUUGGGCGGACUGAUGAAAAGAUAUCACAAUUAUUGGACAAAUUGGAAUCUUAUCGCGUCCGCAAGUAUAGGAUAUUUGACGGAUUCAAAUUUGAUCAGUGUUACCGAUAUGAUGUUCCUAGAGACGGGCAGUGGAAAGUGGUUGACUUGGCUCUGUUCAUAGUUGUAAAAUCAUGGACAAUAGAUGAACAAGAAACUGAAUAUAAAAGGCUCAUGGCGAUGGAUAAUAGUGACCGCGAUAUUGCAAUAAUUGAAAUGAGUCGUAAGUUUCUGACUAAACAGAAAUGGCUCCUCUUUAUCACAAACCUGAAGUCCACCACCGAGUGGAAUUCUAUUAAAGAACACCUCUUAAGCGAAGAUACUAAAGGUUACAUUGUUGUUGUUACAAGUGACCAAAGUGUGGCCACACAUUGUGUAGAUCACAAACAAGAUCAGGUGCUCAAUAUUGAAGAUCUGAUGAAGCAGGACCCGAGCGGACUUGCAGAUGGUGGAGGCAACACACAGGAAGAAGGUGAAUCUGAACCUUAUGCCAUUGCUCGGGAUGAAGAUAGAGAGAGGGUCUUUUAUGACCUCCAUGCUGGUAAGAAGUUGUCUGUGUGGGGAAUUGCCGGUCUUGGGAAAUCAACUCUUGUCAAACACCAUUACAACAAGAUAAAGUCUAUGCAAGUGUAUGUCAUGUAUGGCUGGGUGGAGGUGCCCCAGCCGUUCAAUUUGACGGGCUUGUGUCAGAGAUUGCUUCUGGAUCUUUUAUCAGAUAAUGUUGAUGCAAAGGAAGCUGUAGCAGUUGGUAUGUUUGGAGGCCAAGACCCUAUUCAAGAGUGUAUCAAAAUUCUACUAGAACACAAAUGCCUCCUUGUUUUCGAUGGUCUACAGUCCACGGAUGACUGGGACUUGAUAAAUAAAACCUUGCUAUCCCAGCCUAUCAGUGGGGGAACUAUCAUCAUUACACGUCAAGAAAGAGUUGCCAGACACUGUUCCGAACACAAGGUUUACGACACCUAUGGUUUAGAACCUGAUGUAGCCCUUGAUCUGUUCACAAAGAUAAUUUUGAAUGGCAAGCCACUGUUCGACGAUGCACUGAAGGAUUCAGAAAUUAUGCUCUCCAAGUGUGGUGGGCUUCCAGAAGUAAUAAUUGCUAUUGGAAAACAAAUCCACUCAAAGGCACAACAUAAAGAUUCGUUGUUGCGGAUCUUGAAGGAAAUAAAUAAUGACUUCAGGGGAUAUUUACGGUUGCACCUUCCUAUGUUAAGGGGUCUAUUUUGUUGGAUGCAAUCCUACUUUGAUACUUGCUCGGAUGAUCACAAACCAUGUAUCUUCUAUAUGUCAAUCUUCCCUGCAGACCAACGCAUUAGAUGGACGCGGUUACUCAGGCGGUGGAUCGCCGAAGGUUACUCGCCUACGGAGAAGAAGGCAGCAGAUCUCGCAUUGGAGCUCAUGAAGUCGAGUAUAAUGUACUAUGGGGACGGAAAUGAGAUAUCAAUGAGGAGUAUGUUCAGGCUCAAUGGUUUCUUCCUUGAAUACAUCAAGUCACAACCAAUGGAACAUAACCGUGUGUUUGAACUAGACGGGAGUUGCAGCCCCAGCUCGCGGCUCACUGGACAACACCUCACCAUAAGAAGCAGCUGGGACAGAGAUCGGAUUGUAUUCAAGAGCCUGGACGUGUCACGGCUACGGUCUUUCACAGUGUUCGGGAAGUGGGACAAAUUCCUCAUCUGUAACAAGAUGAAGCUGCUCCGGGUGCUUGAUCUGGAGGGCACUAGUACACCAGAUAUUCCUUCUAGUGUAAGCAAUGAUGAUCUGGAGAAGAUCGCGGAGCUGUUUUCACGCCUCAAGGUCAUUUCCCUACGAGGAUGCAUUAAGGUCACUCGUCUCCCAGAUUCAAUUGGUGACAUGAAGCAACUGCAUACUCUGGAUGCCAAGAACACCUCUAUUGUCGAGCUGCCACCUGCUAUCAUCACCAAGCUACAAAAGCUGCAGUACAUUCGUGUUGGCGCCGGCGACCCAGAAGUUCCCUCAGCACCAGCCGCACCUGUGGCAAUAUCAUCUCCACCAACACCACCACAAGAAGAUGGUCAUGAUGGCACGAGCCUUCUCCUCCGAGCCAAAAUAGAUUUGUCAGGGGCAUCAACAGGAGCAUUGGAUAGGGCACAUAAAUCCUGCAGUAGACUGCGGCACUUCAAGGAGGAGGCCAUACGCAAGUAUGUUACUGCCAGUGGUGGCGGUGUUGGGCUUCUUCGUGCUGCUGCAAAGGGGAUUGGGGGGCUGACGGAAUUGCGUACACUUGGUGUCGUGAAUGUUGCAUAUGGGCGAGGCGACCACAGCUUUCUUGACGAGCUCAAGAAGCUUACCCAAUUGCGCAAGCUCGCGUUGUCCGGCAUCACCCGUGAAAACUGGAACAAGUUGUGUUGUGCCAUCUCGGGUCACCGCCAUCUCGUGAUCCUAUGGCUGAAACUGCUGCUGCUGAAGGAGGAAAAAGCCAGCUAUGACUUUGCCCGUUUCGAUUACAUCUCGGACCCUCCCAUGACCAUACAGCGCCUUAAGGUAACGUACACUGGUAAUGAAGGUGCUGGCAAAGGUUGUGCGUGGAUAACACCAACCUGGAUCAAGCAGCUCCGGCAGGAUAUAAGGUUUUACCAUUGGUUAACGGUAUCAAGUCAAGAGGACAUAGGAGUCCUAUAUGAAGAUGGAGGUGCAUUGCCAGGAAGUGAUCAUGUACAUCUUCGUAUCAAGCCAAUUGAGCAGCGCCUCAGUUUUGAUAAAGGGCUUUCAUUCAACGUCCUCAGCAUUCAUUGCAGUGGCUUCAGCUCAACGGUCACUUUUAGAGGUACGCUAGCCUCCGAAUUCAAAGUCAAAGAGCUCAACCUUCACUGCUGCAGCUCUUGUGGUGGGUUGAACUGUUUGCGGGUUUGUGGGCUAAAGAAUUUACAAAAUCUCGAGCACGUCUGGGUAACAGGUCCAUGUCGCGACGAGCACGAGCAAGACUUGCUCAAGCAACUUGAGGAGCACCCAAAAAACCCUGAGCUGAAGCGGCUAUAA